rnacentral:rRNA from 1 species
AACGAACGCUGGCGGCGUGCCUAACACAUGCAAGUCGAACGAGAAAGGGGCUUCGGCUCCGAGUAAAGUGGCGCACGGGUGAGUAACACGUGGGUAACCUGCCUCUAAGAUUGGGAUAACUCGUCGAAAGAUGAGCUAAUACCGGAUAAGACCACAGUUCCCGCGGGAACAGGGGUCAAAGGUAGCCUCUGCUCGCAAGCUAUCACUUAGAGAUGGGCCUGCGCACCAUUAGCUAGUUGGUAGGGUAACGGCCUACCAAGGCAAAGAGGGUUAGGUGGUCUGAGGGGGUGAUCAGCCACACUGGAACUGAGACACGGGACAGACUCCUACGGGAGGCAGCAGUGGGGAAUAUUGCGCAAUGGGCGAAAGCUUGACGCAGCAACGCCGCGUGAGUGAUGAAGGCCUUCGGGUCGUAAAGCUCUGUCGGGAGGAACGAAUGCUCCCAAGGUUAACAGCCUCGGGAGGUGACGGUACCUUCAAAGGAAGCACCGGCUAACUCUGUGCCAGCCGCCGCUGUAAAAC